rnacentral:rRNA from 1 species
AGUGAACGCUGGCGGUAGGCCUAACACAUGCAAGUCGAACGGCAGCACAGUAAGAGCUUGCUCUUACGGGUGGCGAGUGGCGGACGGGUGAGGAAUACAUCGGAAUCUACUUUUUCGUGGGGGAUAACGUAGGGAAACUUACGCUAAUACCGCAUACGACCUACGGGUGAAAGCAGGGGAUCUUCUGACCUUGCGCGAUGGAAUGAGCCGAUGUCGGAUUAGCUAGUUGGCGGGGUAAAGGCCCACCAAGGCGACGAUCCGUAGGUGGUCCGAGAGGAUGAUCACCCACACUGGAUGUGAGACUGGUCAGACACACCGACGGUAGGACACGGUGCGGAAUAUUGGGCGAUGGAGGCGAGCCUGAUACAGCCAUACCGCGGGAGUGAAGAAGGACUUAGGGUUGGAGAGCCCUUUUGUUGUGAGGGAAGAACAGCAGGUUAAUCCCCCGCUGUUCUGACGGUACCCAGAGAAUAAGCACCGGCUAACUUCGUG